rnacentral:rRNA from 1 species
UACAGAGGAGCCAAGCGUUGUCCGGAUUGACUGGGCGUAAAGCGCACGCAGGCGGAUGCGCGCGUGGGGUGUGAAAUCUGGCCGCUUAACGGCCAGGCGCCAUCCCAUACGGCGCGUCUGGAGUGAUGCAGAGGUCGGUGGAAUUGCCGGUGUAGUGGUGAAAUGCGUAGAUAUUGGGAGGAACACCAGUGGCGAAGGCGGCUCACUGGACUGGUACUGACGCUGAUGCGCGAAAGCGUGGGGAGCAAACAGG